UAUUGGGUUCUAUCUGGACUCUGCCUUGCAUCAGUGCUCUCGGUCCCAGGCGAGGAUUAGCACAGAGGCGAUGAAUUUGGCCCAGAUUCAUGACAAACAAAAGCUAAAGAAAUUUUGGGAGCAGAAGAUAGAGCGACACCAUCAGAUGACUGGGAAAGAAGAAGCCAGAAUGAAGAGGAGCGCUUUAUCAAAGUUAAAGAACGAGUGGAUCCAGAAGCUGCUCAUUCGGAGCCAAGGCAUGAAUGAAAACAAGGAUGCAGCGGAAAUGAAAAAGGAUUGAGGCCUUUUUUAUUUUGAGGAUUGAGGAUAG